rnacentral:rRNA from 1 species
CAGUCGCCGCGGGAACACGUAGGGUCCGAGCGUUGUCCGGAAUUACUGGGCGUAAAGAGCUCGUAGGUGGUUUGUCGCGUUGUUCGUGAAAACUCACAACUCAAUUGUGGGCGUGCGGGCGAUACGGGCAGACUGGAGUACUGCAGGGGAGACUGGAAUUCCUGGUGUAGCGGUGGAAUGCGCAGAUAUCAGGAGGAACACCGGUGGCGAAGGCGGGUCUCUGGGCAGUAACUGACGCUGAGGAGCGAAAGCGUGGGGAGCGAACAGGAUUAGAUACCCCAGUAGUCCCUGUCUCUUAUAU